rnacentral:rRNA from 1 species
AUGAACCUCAAGUAUUUAAGCUUGUAUCUUAACCAAAUUUUGGGAUCAAUCCCAAAAACUUUUGGCAAGUUGCAAAAUGUCCAAGAUUUGCAACUCUUUGAUAACAAUCUGCCAGGUUCUCUUCCUCAAGAAGUAGGACAUCUCACAAGCCUUAUUAAACUUGGGUUGUCUAACAACUCACUUUCAGGAACUUUACCCGCAAAUAUAUAUUCAGGUGGUAGACUUCAAUCCAUCGGCAUAUCUUUUAAUAUGUUCAGUGACCUAAUUCCACGGAGUUUAAAGACAUGUGCGAGUUUGGUUGAAAUUGAUCUUCAGUGGAACCAACUAACAGGAGAUUUAUCUCUACAUCUUGGUGUGUACCCACAACUAAAAGACAUGCGCUUGACAUCAAAUAGAUUCUCUGGGAAAAUCACAUGA